rnacentral:rRNA from 1 species
AGCGAACGUUAGCGGCGGGCCUAACACAUGCAAGUCGAGCGAGAAAAGGGCUUCGGCCCUGAGUAAAGCGGCGGACGGGUGAGUAACACGUAGGUAAUCUUCCCUUGAGCGGGGGACAACGAGCCGAAAGGCUCGCUAAUACCGCAUACGUUUCCAGAGGCCCCGGUCUUUGGAAGGAAAGCUAGGCCGCAAGGUCCGGCACUCGAGGAGGAGCCUGCGUCGCAUCAGCUAGUUGGUGGGGUAACGGCCCACCAAGGCGAAGACGCGUAGCUGGUCUGAGAGGAUGAUCAGCCACACUGGGACUGAGACACGGCCCAGACUCCUACGGGAGGCAGCAGUGGGGAAUAUUGGACAAUGGGCGCAAGCCUGAUCCAGCCACGCCGCGUGAGUGAUGAAGGCCUUCGGGUCGUAAAGCUCUGUGGGGAGGGACGAACCGCUGUUGGUUCAUAGCCAACAGCAUGACGGUACCUCCUUAGCAAGCACCGGCUAACUUCGUGCCAGCAGCCGCAG